rnacentral:tRNA from 1 species
UGCCCCAUAGCCAAGCGGUAAGGCAACGGUUUUUGGUUCCGUCAUGCGUUGGUUCGAAUCCAGCUGGGGCAGCCA